UCAAGCGACCAAGCGCGCAUGGCGGAUGCCUUGGUGGUAAGAGGCGAUGAAGGACGUUGUAGCCUGCGAUAAGCCUCGGGGAGCCGGCAAACAGGCUUUGAUCCGGGGAUUUCCGAAUGGGGAAACCCGACCCUUUUAGGGUCAUCGCACACUGAAUUCAUAGGUGUGUGAAGCGAACCUGGCGAACUGAAACAUCUAAGUAGCCAGAGGAAAAGAAAUCAACCGAGAUUCCCUUAGUAGCGGCGAGCGAAAGGGGAACAGCCCUUAAGUCGCAAUGUGGUUAGUGGAACGGUCUGGAAAGUCCGGCCAUAGAGGGUGAUAGCCCCGUAUACGAAAACCACUUUGCGAUGAAAUCGAGUAGGGCGGGACACGUGAAAUCCUGCCUGAACAUGGGGGGACCAUCCUCCAAGGCUAAAUACUACUUACCAACCGAUAGUGAACCAGUACCGUGAGGGAAAGGCGAAAAGAACCCCUGUUAGGGGAGUGAAAUAGAACCUGAAACCGUGUGCGUACAAGCAGUGGGAGCCCGGCCUCGGCUGGGUGACUGCGUACCUUUUGUAUAAUGGGUCAGCGACUUAUAUCUCAGUGGCAAGCUUAACCGUUUAGGGGAGGCGUAGCGAAAGCGAGUCUUAAUAGGGCGUCAUAGUCGCUGGGAUUAGACCCGAAACCGGACGAUCUAGCCAUGGCCAGGUUGAAGGUCGGGUAAUACCGACUGGAGGACCGAACCAACUGACGUUGAAAAGUCAGUGGAUGAGCUGUGGCUAGGAGUGAAAGGCUAAACAAGUCCGGAGAUAGCUGGUUCUCCCCGAAAACUAUUUAGGUAGUGCCUCGUGUCUCACUUCUGGGGGUAGAGCACUGUUAUGGCUAGGGUCACGUCUAGUGAUACCAACCCAUUGCAAACUCCGAAUACCAGAAAGUGUAAUCACGGGAGACAGACGGCGGGAGAUAAGUUUCGUCGUCGAAAGGGAAACAGCCCAGACCGCCAGCUAAGGUCCCCAAAUCACAACUAAGUGGGAAACGAUGUGGGAAGGCCCAGACAGCCAGGAGGUUGGCUUAGAAGCAGCCACCCUUUAAAGAAAGCGUAAUAGCUCACUGGUCGAGUCGGCCUGCGCGGAAGAUGUACCGGGGCUAAGUUGUGUACCGAAACUGCGGAUGCAAGCUUUGCUUGCAUGGUAGGGGAGCGUUCUGUAGGCCUGCGAAGGUGUGCCGUGAGGCAUGCUGGAGGUAUCAGAAGUGCGAAUGCUGACAUGAGUAACGAUAAAGGGGGUGAAAGACCCCCUCGCCGGAAGUCCAAGGUUUCCUGCACAAUGUUAAUCAGUGCAGGGUUAGUCGGGUCCUAAGAUGAGGCCGAAAGGCGUAAUCGAUGGUUAACAGGUUAAUAUUCCUGUACCGCGUUUAACUGCGAUGGGGUGACGGAGAAGGCUAGGCCAGCCGGGUGUUGGACGUCCCGGUUUAAGCGUGUAGGGAGUACCCUUAGGUAAAUCCGGGGGUGCAAUUCCAAGACGUGAUGACGAAGUCUCUUUUGAGACUGAAGUGGUUAAUGCCAUGCUUCCAGGAAAAACCUCUAAGCUUCAGGUUAAACGUGUCCGUACCCCAAACCGACACAGGUGGACAGGGCGAGAAGCCUAAGGCGCUUGAGACAACUCGGGUGAAGGAACUCGGCAAAAUGACACCGUAACUUCGGGAGAAGGUGUACCCUCGGUAGGUGAAGGUCUUCGCGACCGGAGCCCAAGGGGGUUGCAACAAAGAGGUGGCUGCGACUGUUUAUUAAAAACAUAGCACUCUGCAAACUCGUAAGAGGACGUAUAGGGUGUGACGCCUGCCCGGUGCCGGAAGGUUAAUUGAUGGGGUUAGUCUUCGGACGAAGCUCUUGAUCGAAGCCCCGGUGAACGGCGGCCGUAACUAUAACGGUCCUAAGGUAGCGAAAUUCCUUGUCGGGUAAGUUCCGACCUGCACGAAUGGCGUAACGAUGGCCACACUGUCUCCACCCGGGACUCAG
rnacentral:rRNA from 1 species